CUGCAGUCGAGCGAUGGAUUGAGAGCUUGCUCUCAAGAAGUUAGCGGCGGACGGGUGAGUAACACGUGGGUAACCUGCCCAUAAGACUGGGAUAACUCCGGGAAACCGGGGCUAAUACCGGAUAAUAUUUUGAACUGCAUGGUUCGAAAUUGAAAGGCGGCUUCGGCUGUCACUUAUGGAUGGACCCGCGUCGCAUUAGCUAGUUGGUGAGGUAACGGCUCACCAAGGCAACGAUGCGUAGCCGACCUGAGAGGGUGAUCGGCCACACUGGGACUGAGACACGGCCCAGACUCCUACGGGAGGCAGCAGUAGGGAAUCUUCCGCAAUGGACGAAAGUCUGACGGAGCAACGCCGCGUGAGUGAUGAAGGCUUUCGGGUCGUAAAACUCUGUUGUUAGGGAAGAACAAGUGCUAGUUGAAUAAGCUGGCACCUUGACGGUACCUAACCAGAAAGCCACGGCUAACUACGUGCCAGCAGCCGCGGUAAUACGUAGGUGGCAAGCGUUAUCCGGAAUUAUUGGGCGUAAAGCGCGCGCAGGUGGUUUCUUAAGUCUGAUGUGAAAGCCCACGGCUCAACCGUGGAGGGUCAUUGGAAACUGGGAGACUUGAGUGCAGAAGAGGAAAGUGGAAUUCCAUGUGUAGCGGUGAAAUGCGUAGAGAUAUGGAGGAAC
rnacentral:rRNA from 1 species